UACAGAGGGUGCAAGCGUUGUUCGGAAUUAUUGGGCGUAAAGGGCGCGUAGGUGGUUAGGUAAGUCUGAUGUGAAAUCUCUGGGCUCAACCCAGAAACUGCAUUGGAUACUAUCUAGCUAGAGGAGUGGAGGGGGGACUGGAAUACUUGGUGUAGCAGUGAAAUGCGUAGAUAUCAAGUGGAACACCAGUGGCGAAGGCGAGUCCCUGGACACUUCCUGACACUGAGGCACGAAAGCUAGGGGAGCAAACAGG
rnacentral:rRNA from 1 species